AAUCCUGAAACAAAUGGUUUUUAUUUUCCAUUUAGAGGAGUCCAUUUAUUUCUGAACACUUGACUUUUGUCCAUUCAGCUUGUUAUUUUAUUGUAGUGCAAUGGCAGCAGUACUCAGGAGGCUAACUCAGCCAUUGCACUACAACAAAAUUGAUUUGACCUCUUGACCUUUACCUGUGCUAUUAGUAAUACUUUAGAUUAGAGGUUUUCAGUCUUCGUUAAUAUGAGUAAUAAUAUAAUAUAAUAACAUGCUAUGAAAGAGAGAUUGUCCCUGUGGCAAGAACAGCAAUAGUUUACAUGAAGUGUAAUAUUAGGAACAUAUCUAUGUAUUUUUAGUUGUGCUAUUCAAAAGCUGUUUACAUUCUGAAAUUCAAAAAAAAACAAACAGGAAAAAUUUCCUCACUGUUUUUCAACCAGCUACACUGCUGGUCAAAAAAACUUUUUGAAUUUUGACAAUAAAUGGGAAUUUUGGAAGAGGUUUUCACCCUUUGUUUUCUCUCUUUCAACAAGCUCCAAUUUUUAGCAGAUUUUUUUUUUUUAGUAGCAGGAAACAAAGAGGCAGCAGCAAGAGAUAUAUAUAAAACCUAAAGAGCUCUACAGAACAUUUUGAAAAUCAGCAUCUUAGAUUUUUGACAACAAUAAUGCUGAACAGGUAGCAAAUGGUGGAAUUUAGAUUUACAUGAUCAAUCCUAUUCUAGUCAAGGGUAGAAUACAGCCUUCAGAAUUGUUAAUUUGUUGGUAAUGAUGUUGAAAGAGUCAGAGCCGAAACUGAGUUCACAAGCCAGGGGAGGGUUGCAAGGAAGGCUUUCCUGGUAAAAUGAACACACUUAUUUGUAUAUAAUUGAUGCCACAAAUAUUGACCCCAUAAAAGGAUUCCCACUGAGUUAAUUUUCAGGAGAAAGCACACUUAAUAUGUUCUCUCAAUACUGAUGUUUUUGUUAUGACUUUGUUAGGAGGGGUGAACAAGGAAAAUUUCGUUGCUCACAUAUUAAGCUAUAGCACAGCAGUUCUCAAACUGUGGGUCAGGACCCCAAAGUGGGUCACGACCCAAUUUUAAUGGGGUCACCAGGGCUAGCUUUGACUUGCUGAGGCCUGGGGUCGAAGCCAAAGCCCAAGGGCUUCAGCCCUGGGUAGUGGGGCUCAGCUUACAAGCUCCCAGCCUGGGGCUGAAGCCCUUGGACUUCGGCCACCCACCCAGGGCAAUGGGGCUUGGGAUUUGGCCCCACCACCCAGGACAGUGGGGCUCAGGCAGGCUAGGACUUUGGCCCCACCUCCUGGGGUUGUGUAGUAAUUUUUGUCAGAAGGGGUCACAGUGCAAUGAAGUUUGAGAACCCCUCCUAAUGCUGCGAAACUAGAAUUCUUAUAUACGAUGAAGUCCUUGUCUAAGCAACAGAGUAUCUGAACAUUGUUUUGCUUUAGGAGAUUGUAUAGUGCAUAUGUACAAACAACAAUCUAUGGUAAUUUUUAAAGUGUACAGAAGUUUUCGGCUGAAACUGGCUGUUUUUAAAUUGGG